rnacentral:rRNA from 1 species
CCUAACACAUGCAAGUCGAACGGUAACAGGAAGAAGCUUGCUUCUUUGCUGACGAGUGGCGGACGGGUGAGUAAUGUCUGGGAAACUGCCUGAUGGAGGGGGAUAACUACUGGAAACGGUAGCUAAUACCGCAUAACGUCGCAAAACCAAAGAGGGGGACCUUCGGGCCUCUUGCCAUCGGAUGUGCCCAGAUGGGAUUAGCUAGUAGGUGGGGUAACGGCUCACCUAGGCGACGAUCCCUAGCUGGUCUGAGAGGAUGACCAGCCACACUGGAACUGAGACACGGUCCAGACUCCUACGGGAGGCAGCAGUGGGGAAUAUUGCACAAUGGGCGCAAGCCUGAUGCAGCCAUGCCGCGUGUAUGAAGAAGGCCUUCG